GAAAUACCAUAAAAGGUUAGGGGUAAAAUUGGAAUUUCACAUGUGGAAAUACCAUAAAAGGUUAGGGAUAAAAUUGGAAUUUCACAUGUGGAAAUACUAUAAAAGGUUAAGGGCAAAGGUGGAAUUUCAACUUGGAAAUAUUAGGAAAGGUGAGGGGCAAAAUGGAAAUUUCACAUGGGAGCCUUAGUCAUAAAAUCCUAGAAUUCUCUACACAAUUUGAGAAAGAAGAAGAGCAAAGGAAAGAAGAGAAAUCAAGAGAGAAAAUCGGACAAGAAGACCAAAAAAUUACCCCUUCAAAUUUCAUCCCAAAAAUUAUAAUUUUCUAGUAUUCCUACUAAGUCAAGGGUGCUCUACAACAUGGUGUAGUUUUUUUGGAAGAUAGGAGGCUUGUUUGGUUGAUUUGAAGCUUUGGUAAAGUGAAGAAGUUGGAAGGAAAAGGUAAGAAUUAAUCCAAUUUCUUUGUGUUAUGAAGUUUGUUUAUGUUGUAGUAAGUAGAGAUGUGUAGAAUCCAUGGAAAUAUGGAAGUUAUAUGGUUGGAUUUGGACAUAUGAAUAAGUUAUGUGUAUGUAAGAUUGUUGGCAAGAAGACUUGAAUUUUUGUGUAGUAUUUUUGGUGUAGUAUUUGAAUAGUAGUAUGAUAAAUAUUUGAUGUUGAAAAUGGAAGUUGGAUGAAAUUAAUUGAAGUUGGAAAUAUGGGUUAGGUGAUGAAAUGGAAAAAAAAAUAAGUUUGUAUAAUUUGUUAGUUGUUGUUAUGAUUUUUGGGAUAUAAAUGAAGUUUAUAUGGUGUAAGUUGGUAUUAAAAUGGGUUGUAGGAAUUAUGUAAUUUUAGUAUGAUAUUAUAAGAAUAUGGAGGUAAGUUAUUAAAAGUAUGGAUUCUUGUUGUUGAUUAUGAAGUUGAAAGAAGGAAAUGAAUUUGAUUAUGAAGUUGAAAGAAGGAAAUGAAUUUGAUUAUGAAGUUGAAAGAAGAAAAUGAAUUGUAAUAGUUUUGUUGCAUUUAUGGAAUUUUUGGGUGAAAUAUGGAAUUGAUGAAUAUUGAAUAGUUUACUUGGAAUAUUUUUCACCUAUGUUGGAAUGAGUUGAAAUUAAUUAUGAACAUGAAAUAUUCAUAUUUAUUUGGAAAUGCAAAGUUUGGUUGAAAGUUGUUGCACUAAUUGGAAAAUUACAUCAAUUUAUGUUAUGGUGUGUUUAAGUUGAUUAUUGAUGGAAUUGGUGUUGAUGUUGGCUUGGUUGUUGAUAUUGUGGCCGAGUUGUAAUCUCGGGGUUGUCAUAUAUAUAGGGGAGAUGCUGCCGAAAUUUUUGUAGACAAGUAUUGGAAAAAUUGAGUUCUUAAAGUCUUAUGAAUAGUAAUUGGUAAAUGUGACCAAUUGUAGAUUUUGGAGGAAACGGAAAUUGAACUUGGACAACCGUAAAAGGCCAAAAAGGUACCGAAGUUCGAUUUGCUGAUCCACCUGUUUAGGAUAUUUGCUGCGUCGUUGACAGUGCUCCCUUGUUCGGAGCUUGUAUUUUGGUACUGACUUUAUCUCUGUAUAUUUGGAUAUGUUGGUCAGGGGUACGACGGGGCCUUGUCCCGUCAUAUGACUAUGCUAUUAUCUGUAGAGGUCUGUAGACAGAGUUAUGUUGUGGGUUUUGUAUAUAUGGUUUGGAUUUUUGUGUGUUUUGUGACAACCUUUCAACUCUCGUGCGUAUAUCUACUUUUAUGAUAUAUUUAGCAAUUUCUACUAA